rnacentral:rRNA from 1 species
UAGGGAAUCUUCGGCAAUGGACGAAAGUCUGACCGAGCAACGCCGCGUGAGUGAAGAAGGUUUUCGGAUCGUAAAACUCUGUUGGUAGAGAAGGAGCGUUGGUGAGAGUGGAAAGCUCAUCAAGUGACGGUAAGCUACCCAGAAAGGGACGGCUAACUACGUGCCAGCAGCCGCGGUAAUACGUAGGUCCCGAGCGUUGUCCGGAUUUAUUGGGCGUAAAGCGAGCGCAAGGUGGUUUAUUAAGUCUGGUGUAAAAGGCAGUGGCUCAACCAUUGUAUGCAUUGGAAACUGG